rnacentral:misc_RNA from 1 species
CAGUUAGUUUCAAUCGCUCGUAUAAGUCGGACGUGUUCACGCACCGCUCGCGCUCCUUCGCACGCAACGCCAGUCACACGUAUACACACGUGUUUGUUACGUAUGUAGACCGAUUCCGCGACUGGUUCGUGACGAUAAAACUUUGAAGUCGCUUCUUCAGUCAAGCGCACCCGCUCGAACAAGCCGUAGACGUGUUCUAAAAUAAAUUCUCGCAAGCCUAUUAUUGUUUAUUCGAAUCCCAUUGAGCCACGUGCUUGAAGAACAUUCACGUGUAACAAUUCGAUACUUUUUCAAUUUUUCUCAAGGCGAUUCGCGCCGAGCGAGACCUCGAGGUUCGAAACGCGCGCUAACGCCGCCGGCUGAUCACGUGGUACGUCAUCGUAUCGACCAGCGGUGCGGCCGCCGCGCCGAUUGGCCCGGCCGGGGGACACGUGACCGCGCUCAACGUCAGUCCGGAGUACCGUCUGCUGGCGGUGUCAGGCUGCACUUGUCAGUGCUUGUUGGUGCUUGUUAGUGUACGUUCCACGAGUGAACAAAGGAUACCGUGGGGCAAUAAAAGGUGACCCUCUGAUUCUCGAAUCGUUCGAAUUCGUCGGCGUCGCGUUUCCAUUUCGCGUCGAGGUAUCGGCCGGGAUCGUCUCCGCUCGCCUCGCGUCUCGAUCCCCGAGCGGAAUUCGCGUACAACGUCACGGUGCUGAAGAUCGCGUCUGCGGUACAGGCGCUUUUGACAGCUCGCCGUGACGUGCAUUGUCGGCGAACCGCCGAUCGGUGAGUCGGCUUCGCCGUGACGGUGGUCGAUCGUGCUCGAAGGGUUCGAAGGGAGAGCCCGUCGACGAGACGUCACGACUCGAAACAGAUCCGUCGAAGCGAUAGCCUCGAUUCUCCUCCUCCUCGCAGCUCUCUGUAGUCUGUCUCUCUCGCACGCGGGAGACCUUCGGACUGAAGACAACCGCGAGUACGCGUUUUCCUUUCGCCGCGCGCCACGAAUUUUCGAACGACACUCCGCCCGAUCGCGUGUCUCCUCUUCCUUUCUCUCCCCCCCCCCCUCCCCCUCGUCGAUCGAGUUUCCGCGGCCUGUGCUGCGCGAGCUUAGGACAUGUACAGCAUGAACUAUAUCGCCAAGAUCAUCAGCAACUUCCGUCUCUUCUACAACGAGAUCAACGCCGCGACUCUCACUGGCGCGAUCGACGUCAUCGUCGUCGAGCAGCCAGACGGCUCCUACACGUGCUCGCCCUUCCAUGUCCGCUUCGGCAAGCUCGGCGUACUCCGUUCUAGAGCGAAAGUGGUUGACAUUGAGAUAAAUGGAGAGCCCAGGGAGAUUCACAUGAAACUUGGAGAUUCCGGUGAGGCGUUCUUUGUGGAAGAAGUCAGCUCGAAUGGAUCUCCAACAGACACCGAAAUCCCGCCACAUCUGGCCUGCUCGCCAAUACCUGACAAUUGCUUCCCACCGCAAAAGUUCAAUCUGUUAUCGGAUCUGCCUCAGGAACAGAGAGAGAAGAUUCUCAUAGACUCAGUACUUUCCAUAGAGUGCGAGAAAUGGGAGCAGAUGUCCGCCUUGCCGCCCGAUCAACGGGAGAAGUUUUUGAUUGAGCAGUUUUCGGAUCUUCCUGCGGAGCAUCGUGAGAAAUGGCUACAGAUUGCUUCACUGACCGCGGAAGAGCGAGACGAAAUGUUCAAGGAGAGCUUCGGCACUAUAUCCCCGGAGCAGAAGCAACAGAUGAUCAGAGAACAGUAUUCCACUUUGAAGAUGGAGGACAAGGAUAGAUUGUUCAAGGAAAAUUUUCCUGAGCUCUCAAUCGAGCAGCGGCAGAAUUUUGAGAAGGCUUUGCUGAGUGACUGGAAGGAGAAAGAGGAAGAGAAACAUGACAAAAACGAGGAUGAAGAGAUAUUCGAUAUGGAUGCUCUUGGUGAUGAGCAGCCAAAAUUGACGAUUUCUUGCCCAAAGUCUUUUGUAGCUGUCACUUCAUCUGAAAGAAUUCGCAAGAUCAGCGUGGUGAAGAAUGACUUUAGGCCAAUUACCGAUGAUCCCCAGAGCAGUAGUAAGGAGAAAUCUAGCGACGAAUCAAAUGGUUCCUUGAAUAAGAAGAAUUCGAAGGAAGAGAACGUUGAUGAGUGCAAGAGUAACAAUUCGAUUAAGAGGAAGCGCAAGAGGAAGAGCAUUAUGAAGAAGAAAGGCUCGCAGAGAAAAAGCAGUAAUGGCAGCAGCAGUCAGACAGAAUUGAGCGAGACUGAUGCAACGUUUACUGAGGAGUCAAUUAGCGAAUCGGGCCCCAUUCUGGAAGAUGAAAAGAAAAAUGUUAUCGCGGAAUUAUUGACAUCCUCCCAGGACAUAGAAAAACGUCCCGAAACCGAUUUCCAUUUUUUCAGUGAUUCAGAAGUUACCAAAAAUAAAGAAUCCAGAUCGUCUUCGCCUGUUCAAUCGGAUACGGAAUUUGAAGUACGUAAAAUCACGCAGGAGGGUAGCGAGAGGGAGGAUGAUAAGGGUCAUCAGCAGAGUUGGAGAUGGGGCGAACUACCCAGUCCACCCCCGGAGCCAGCGCAUAUGUCGCAUAGGAAUUCGUUGAGUUCUUUGGCGACAGCUAAUCAACCGAAUAAAGAUGCACAACGGUCUAUGCUCAGUGGCAUGUUCUCCUUUAUGAAGAAGACUUCUCGCGUAAGACACAAUCCAGAAUCUGAGGGGAUUUAUCUUAGCGAUCUUAAAGCCGACGAACUGGACCCCGAAGUUGCGGCUUUGUAUUUUCCAUCGUCGCAUCGAGGCCCGACGGUUAAAGACAGAAAAGGGGUGGAUGAAGAAGAUACAGAGUCGGGCAAUGGGCCAAGUCUACCUCAGAGUCCGAACAGUGUUGAGGGAGCUAUUGGCGGACCAAAGUCUCUGGAUAGCGAUUUCGAGGAACCAAAGCAUCAUAUUUUCGAUAAUAACAUAGAUAUAAGUAUGUCUUUGUGCGGUGGUUUAGACAGUGAAAAUGGACCAUCUCAGGAAGUGUUCAAUGAAAAUUUACUACACUUCGAAGACGUUUGUAAUGAUCCGAAACUGUACGAGAAUCCGAAUCUGGUUGUGAAAAUCAAUGGAAAAUUCUACAAUUGGACUACGGCUUGUCCGAUAGUGUUAACUUAUGUUGUUUUUCAAAGAUUCUUGCCACAAAGCGCAAUCGAAAAUCUAUACAUGUCGUUGCCGGUACAUGAAGAUAAGAAGCAACAGAACAUUGACAAGUCCGAGAGUCGUAGUGGAUAUAGUUCGUGGUUUUCUUGGAGGCGAUCUACUCAACCUUCUAAAAAGCCACAAGACGCUAGUCAAAAUGAUGAAACUGCUAUGCAGGCAUCUGAACAGUCUUUGGAAGUUAAGGCUGUGGCAAGUGAUGAAUUAGCUUCUACUAACAGGGAAGUAAAGACUGAGCAAAAUACAGAUUCGUCAAGCUCAACUGAGAUAGAAACUUGUACAAGAUUAACAAUCACAUCCAACGAAACUACACUUGCAAAGACUGAGAAAACACGCGAGGGCGAGGGCGAAGGGUACAGUGGCGGUGAGGAUUCUGAUAGUAAUCACAAUGAACCAGCAGGUAUCAAGAUACCUGUGGAAAGAAGACCGUAUUACGAAUCUACAGAGAAAUAUCGUAAAACUUUGCGACUAUCGUCUGAACAGAUAGCAAGUCUCGAUCUAAAGGAUGGCGCUAACGAAGUAGUUUUUAGCGUUACUACGGCUUAUCAGGGUACGAAACGCUGUAAAUGCCAUAUUUAUAAGUGGAAGUGGAAUGACAAAAUCGUCAUCUCCGACAUCGAUGGUACUAUUACGAAAUCCGAUGUGCUGGGUCACAUCUUACCGAUAGUGGGCAAGGACUGGGCUCAAUCCGGAGUUGCUCAACUAUUUACAAAGAUAAAAAAUAACGGUUACAAAUUACUGUACCUCUCAGCAAGAGCAAUCGGUCAGGCUGGAGGAACUCGGGAAUAUUUGAGAAAUUUGAGACAAGGGGAUCUGUCGCUGCCGGAAGGACCGCUAUUGUUGAAUCCUACAAGCUUAAUCUUAGCGUUUCAUCGUGAAGUGAUAGAGAAGAAGCCAGAAGAAUUUAAGAUAUCCUGUCUGAAAGAUAUUCAAGCGUUAUUCCCUGAAGGAUCCGCGCCAUUUUAUGCUGGAUAUGGAAAUCGCAUAAACGACGUAUGGGCGUAUCGAGCAGUAGGAAUUCCUAUAAUGAGGAUAUUUACCAUAAACCAUCGAGGAGAAUUAAAACAUGAAUUGACACAGACAUUCCAAUCUUCUUAUACGCGUCAGUGCAAUAUCGUCAAUGACUUGUUCCCGCCACAACCUAUGCCAAACGUCUUCUGAUAGCACAACCAUAAAUUUUAACAGACAUAUUAAUUGAAUUAAUUAAAGUAUUAAAGUGUUUUAAAUACACACAGUAACACCAGUGGCAUAUCUGGCUUUAACGCAUUGUUGCAUUAUACAUGGAAUAUUAUCAUGCAUAAUUGCGCAAUAUUUUUUGGUAACAAUGGACAAAGUACGAAAUUAAAACAAGCACUUUAUAUAUAUUGUAAGAACACACGAGUAAUAUGACAAUCAGGAGAACUCAUUUCUAAUUAUAAAUUUUUUAAUUGUCGAAUGUAACCAUAAUUAGAUAUGCUAGUAUUAUAUUUUGGAAUAUAUUUGGUUGUGCGACAGCUCCUACUUCUUAUAAUUUAUAGGAUAUUCGAAUAUGAGCUUCAUCGUCGAUCAAGUAUUCCCGGCGUGGCGAGAAGAUGCGACAGACGAAUUCAGCACUUUCGCGUAUUGGCGAGAACCGAUACCCGAAGUACCGAAACUUGAGGAGCUCUACACUCA